CUCUCGGCGAGCUGCACACACAGCCACGCCUUAAACUGACCCUCCACGGCCGCCGUCACACCCCCACCCCGACUCGGCGACUCUCUAGACGUAAAGAUGGACCGGAGGUGAAGAAAGACACUUCGAACUACAGGAUAGCAGCCAUCGAACAAGAACUCCCACUAAACCCCACUGAUUAGACUGGCCAAGUCACUUCUGAGAUCCUGCUGUAUCCUCCUCUUCAGCCUCUGGAUGACUCAUGCCACCAAAUGUGGCUUCUUACACGGGUUCUAGGAUUAUAGGGUAUGCACACGUGUGUGCAAGUGUUCACAGCCUAUGUGCAAGUAGGCCAAAGGAAGACACUGGGUAUCCUGCUCUAUCACAUUCUACUUCAUUCUUCAGACAUCUUUCACCAAAAUUGCAGCUAGACUGACAGUCAGAAAAACCCAAAGAUCCUCCGGUCUGAAUCCCUACACAGCACUGUGGUUAUGGACAUAUGCACAGCCAUAUUUGGCUUUUUAUGUGGAGAUUUGAACUCUGGUCCUCAAGCUUGCAAAUGUGUCCAAUUUGUGCCUUGAGUACAGCCCACAGGCGACCUCAAAAUGUAAUGUGUCUGUCUCACAGAAGGUUCUCACUGUCGUGUUUCAGUGUGUGCACUGCAUGCUGGUGUGUCUAUCGUGUGUGUGCAGCAUCUGCUACCAGAAAGAAGCUCACCAGGAAACUAGUUCCCUUCCCACCACGCCGGACAGGCUGUAGCCAUCCUUAAAAGUCACACUGUUUCUCCCUCACGUCCCAAACAAGGACUCCUUAGGAUGCUGAGGAGGGUGAAGUCUCUCCCUGUGGCGGGAUGGUCUGGUGGUAGUGAAGGCCCCUCUGCCACAAUGGAAGUUCCUGAUUGUGGGACACAGUCUGGGUUGUUUUCUUCCUGUCUUCUAAUAAAAAAAGACAUUCCUGGAGGGCAGGCACAGUG